rnacentral:lncRNA from 1 species
GGGGGAAAGAGGGGGUCACCACGGCUUGUGGUUGAGCCCAUGAAGUAAUUAUAUGAGGAGGUGCCGUCGGGUCGGGUAAAAAAAAGUACUAAAAACCAGAAUACCGACUACUUUCGAGUAGUAGCUUAUUGAAAAAUCAAAUUAAAAAAAUAACUUAAACUCUCCUUCUUGUAAGGGGUAACUUUAACCUAUGCCAUCAUAGGGUUAAUCAACAAACUCCAUUGUCGUUUCACUCACACUUACAGAGCAGAGCCCUUUCACUCGCACUUGCAAACAGCACCUCGGCACCUCCUUAUAUUAUUACUUCAUGGUUGAGCUGAGGUUUUGGGGAAGUCGUUUUCGUUUCACCGGCAGUGACUUAUGUCCAUGGUCUUCUAGACUGUGGAUACUGCGGCAACGCUUCCUCGCCGCUGUCGCGAUGUAAAUCCAACCACUCAUCGGAGCUCAGAGGCAGCACCUCAGAGCCAUUGAGACCGGCAGAGGCGCGAUCCAUCCACAUAAGAAUGUUACUCUUCACCAGGUUGAUCUGCGGACCUGAAAAAGACAGUUAAAGGGUAACAGUUUAAAAGUGACAGUUUCAAUGUGUCUUCAAUGUGUGGCAUUCAUCUGGGUAGCACUAGCAGAAUAGGCACCUCGAUGAACAAUUGACCCUCGGUCGAGCCUUGGCCAGGCCUCUGGAAGCAUCCUACGGACAAAUUAACGCACAAGACAUAGACACAAGAGUAAAAUAUAUAUUCUUUCUUCGCUUUUUUUUGGUUCCUCUUUCCUUUCAUUCGUAUACAGUUU